rnacentral:rRNA from 1 species
GGGCCCGCACAAGCGGUGGAGCAUGUGGUUUAAUUCGAUGCAACGCGAAGAACCUUACCAGGACUUGACAUACUACGAAUUCUUCUGAGAAGAAGAAGUGCCUUCGGGAAUGUAGAUACAGGUGGUGCAUGGCUGUCGUCAGCUCGUGUCGUGAGAUGUUGGGUUAAGUCCCGCAACGAGCGCAACCCUUAUUUUUAGUUACUAAUUCGUUAGGUUCUCUAGAAAGACUGCCGGUGACAAACCGGAGGAAGGUGAGGAUGACGUCAAGUCAGCAUGCCCCUUAUGUCCUGGGCUACACACGUGCUACAAUGGUUAAGACAAAGAGUCGCGAGCUUGUGAAAGUCAGCUAAUCUCAUAAACUUAGCCUAAGUUCAGAUUGUAGGCUGCAACUCGCCUACAUGAAGUUGGAAUC